GAUGAACGCCGGCGGCGUGCCUAAUACAUGCAAGUCGAGCGAAUGGAUUAAGAGCUUGCUCUUAUGAGGUUAGCGGCGGACGGGUGAGUAACACGUGGGUAACCUGCCCAUAAGACUGGGAUAACUCCGGGAAACCGGGGCUAAUACCGGAUAACAUUUUGAACCGCAUGGUUCGAAAUUGAAAGGCUGCUUCGGCUGUCACUUAUGGAUGGACCCGCGUCGCAUUAGCUAGUUGGUGAGGUAACGGCUCACCAAGGCAACGAUGCGUAGCCGACCGGAGAGGGUGAUCGGCCACACUGGGACUGAGACACGGCCCAGACUCCUACGGGAGGCAGCAGUAGGGAAUCUUCCGCAAUGGACGAAAGUCUGACGGAGCAACGCCGCGUGAGUGAUGAAGGCUUUCGGGUCGUAAAACUCUGUUGUUAGGGAAGAACAAGUGCUAGUUGAAUAAGCUGGCACCUUGACGGUACCUAACCAGAAAGCCACGGCUAACUACGUGCCAGCAGCCGCCGUAA
rnacentral:rRNA from 1 species